UGCUAAUAUUGAAUUAAUUUGAUUUUCGCAUUUGUUCCAUCCAUUCAACUCGGAUUCAAUACAGCCGACUACAAUAGAUUGAUCUUAGUAGUUCCUACGUAACGACCCAUUAAGAAAUGGAUAUGAGAUCUGCUGUGUUCCUAAUUCUCGUGAUCGCUUUCGUGAAAAUCGUCCAGGGCGGAGCUGCAGCCGUACACGGAUUAGACCAAACAGUCCAGAGCCGUGAACAGGAGAUGGCAGAAAAUUUAAUAAAAUUUUUGUGUUAAUAAA
rnacentral:lncRNA from 1 species